rnacentral:tRNA from 1 species
GGGGGUGUAGUUCAGUGGUAGAACACUUGCCUACCAUUGUGGAUUUGGUCCCCAGUGAUGUUAAAAAUUAAAAAAUUUAAAAAGUAAGAUAUAGAGGGGCUGGGAUUGUAGCUCAGAAGUAGAGCGCCUGCCUGGCACGUGCAAGGCACUGGGUUCUAUCCUCAGCACCACAU